ACUGAUAUUGGAGACUAUCAGGUAAAACUACGCAACCUGACGCGUUUCCUAGAAGACGGCAACAAAGUGAAGGUAACAAUUCGCUUCCGUGGCCGUGAAAUGGCUCACCAAGACAUUGGUGUCGACGUUCUUAACCGUCUGAAAGAAGAUACUGUAGAUUUAGCUGUAGUAGAGUCUUUCCCGACUAAGAUCGAAGGCCGUCAAAUGAUCAUGGUAUUGGCCCCUAAGAAGAAGUAAUUAGCGGCUUUACAAGUAAGAAAACCUGGCCGUUCUCGGACUGGCCGGGUUUUGUUCGCCCUAAUUACUAUUGUUUAAACAACUCAACAAUGCGGAGUUAUUCAUCAUGCCUA
rnacentral:misc_RNA from 1 species